CUGGCGGCGUGCUUAACACAUGCAAGUCGAACGCGAAAGGGACUUCGGUCCUGAGUAAAGUGGCGGCACGGGUGAGUAACGCGUAGAUAACCUGUCUUCAUGUCUGGAAUAAUACGCCGAAAGGGGUACUAAUACCGGAUAUUCUUGCUUUUCAUAAGCUAUGCAAGCAAAGGUGGCCUCUGCAUAUGCCACUGCAUGAAGAGGGGUCUGCGUACCAUUAGCUAGUAGGUGGGGUAAUGGCCUACCUAGGCGACGACGGUUAGCGGGUCUGAGAGGAUGAUCCGCCACACUGGCACUGGAACACGGGCCAGACUCCUACGGGAGGCAGCAGUGAGGAAUAUUGCGCAAUGGGGGAAACCCUGACGCAGCGACGCCGCGUGAGUGAGGAAAGGCCUUCGGGUCGUAAAGCUCUGUCAAGAGGAAAGAAGUGUACAAUGGCUAAUACCUGUUGUAUUUGACGGUACCUCUAAAGGAAGCACCGGCUAACUCCGUGCCAGCAGCUGC
rnacentral:rRNA from 1 species